rnacentral:misc_RNA from 1 species
GAUGAAGAACGUAGCGAAAUGCGAUAAGUAGUGUGAAUUGCAGAAUUCAGUGAAUCAUCGAAUCUUUGAACGCACAUUGCGCCCCUUGGUAUUCCAUGGGGCAUGCCUGUUCGAGCGUCAUUUGUACCCUCAAGCUUUGCUUGGUGUUGGGCGUCUUGUCAUAUUACGACUCGCCUUAAAUACAUUGGCAGCCGGCACUUUGGCCUAGGAGCGCAGCACAUUUUGCGAUCGUAGCCCGUUGUACUGGCGUCCAUCAAGAACAUUUACCACGUUUGACCUCGGAUCAGGUAGGGAUACCCGCUGAACUUAAGCAUAUCAAUAAGCGGAGGA